rnacentral:rRNA from 1 species
GACGAACGCUGGCGGCGUGCCUAAUACAUGCAAGUAGGACGCAGUUGCGAACGGGUGAGUAACGCGUAGGUAACUGCCUAUUAGAGGGGGAUAACUAUUGGAAACGAUAGCUAAUACCGCAUACUAGUAGAUGGACCUGCGUUGUAUUAGCUAAUAGGUAGGGUAAUGGCCUACCUAGGCGACGAGACAUAGCCGACCUGCGAUGGGGAACGGCAACCCUGGGGCGUGUACACGUACCAGAGCCCGACGGUAGGCAGCAGUAGGGGAUCUUUGGGAAUGGGGGGAACCCUGACCGAGCAACGCCGCGGUAGUACAGAAGGUUUCCGGAUCGUAGAGCGCCGUUGUUAAGGAAGCGGUACUUAACCAGAAAGGGACGGUUAACUACGUGCCAGCAGCCGCGGUAAUUC